AUUUUUAUUAUUAUUAUUAGGGGUUCGAGCACGAAGUGCUGAAACCCUAUUGUAAUUGUUAGGAUUUUUAUUAUUAUUAUUAUUAUUAUUAUUAUUAUUAUUAUUAUUAUUAUUAUUAUUCUUCCGCCUUAAAACUGAACGGGCAGCCCAAACCGUAAGGCCUAGAGAGCUGAAACUUGGUCAAAAGGUAGUAGUCUUGCUCGCUACUCAGGCGCAAAGAACAGGCCCAAUCGGCCUAACGGGGGCGCUACAGCGCAAAAAACUAAAUUUUCAGACAUUUUUGGCCGUAGCUCGUAAACCGUUUGUCGUAGACUCAAAAACAUGGCAUCGUUGCAAUCCUUGGGUUAGCCCGAACAAAAUUGCUCUGCUGGUUUUUUCGCUCUACGGCGCAUCGUUUUCUCGCAAAAUUGAGUUAUAUCUGAAACCUACUUUUGCGAACUAGUCCUAGGUUUUUCACCCGAUCAGAACCAAACCACUGCAGAAAUAUUCUCUGGACACUCAUUAUCAAUAAUUAUCAAAAAAAAGUUGAAAUUUUGAUUCUUACGCGAAACAGUACGCCAAAAAGCAUCUAUGCUAACGUUAGCCAAAUGUUAUUUUAGCUAUAACUCUUGAACGGAAUGAGAUAUCUUCAUCAAACUCGGUACACAUAUGUAUAAGC
ensembl:lncRNA